ACGGCAGGAUGGGGAGGCUGCAAGUGGGAGGGAGGAGCAAUGAGGGAGGGACGAGUCGGAGGGUAGAGAGAAGAGCUGAAGGCAAAGGGCGUAGGGCGGGGCAGGAGGGUGCAGAGGAGGAAGUGAGGAGGAGGAGGAGGGGUGAGGGUAGGGAAAGGAGAGAAGAGGGAAGCGGGAGGGAGGAGGAGGGGCGAGGGGGGCAAGGAGAAAAAAGAGGGGCAGCGGGGGGCGAAGGCUGGACGGCAGGGCCAAGCCGCAGGCGCUGACGCAGGGCGGCUUCCGGGCGCGGGGCGCUGGGCCCCGCGGCUGGUCCCGACGCCGCUGGCCUUGUAUGGUCGGAAGACGCAGUUCCCCCGGGGCCCCUCCUAGACGCGCGGCCCCUACUACCCACACGCCCUGGCCUCGCGGGGCCAACCCUGGUGGGUGUCUGAGGCCUCGGGUUUCCAAGGUUCGGAAAUACCAAGAUCCGGUAAUUCCUGGGCUCCAGCGUCCCGGGUGGCCAAAAACCUGCAACUCCAAGCCACCAGGGCUCUAGAGUCUAAAGCGCCAGGGGACUUAACCUGAGACUCCUAAAUGUUGAGAUCCUAGACUCUUGAGACCCUAAAACCCGCUUCCCCACAACAUCCCGAAGGCGUCGAAGCCCCCCGGAACCCGAGUCCCGAAACGGGUUCCGUUACCCCAGGCUGUCCCGCCCCGCGCCCGCCCCCGCUCGCCCUGGGCGCGCGCCCCAGCACAUUCCGUCCUCUCCACCCGGCCCCUCCCGCCUCCCGCGGCCCCGUGGGGACGGAAACAUCCCGUACCCGCUUGCGCGCGCCCGCCAGAGUUGGGUCAAGGAGCCCGGCAAGACGGGAGCGCGGCCCCCCCGACGCCCGGGAACUGGCUCCCCCGGUUCUCAUCUGGUGACCUCACCUGGUCCCACCCUUUCAGGUGAACGGCCAGGCCCGGUGACGUCACUUCCUGCCAGACCGCGAAGAAGCGAGGAUCCCAGCUUACACGCAGAUUCCGUUUAUUUAAAAAUUUCCAAAAACACAAAAAUAGACUUUUAAGGUAACAAUAUAUAUUACUAAAUAUAUUAUUAUAGUCUACUUAUAAUAAUUAUACCGUCGUUUCCAAUAUUACAAAAAAAGAGGAAGAAAAAUACGAGGGAAGCAGACGACCCAAUAUAUAUAAAUACUAUAAAAUCAUAUUAGAAUAAAUAAAGUCGUCAUAAAUAAAGACCCAUUGAUUCAUGGGUGGGGUUUGGCAACAGCUUUGGCUACUUGCUUUUGGAGGGUAAUUUGAGCACCAGGAUUCCCCCUCAGGGGAGGUUCCAGUUACCAGGAGACUGGAACCUCAGAUCUCUAAAAACUGGAGGGGCAGAGAAGGCCUAUUAUUCACAGCACGUAAGAUUCCACGAAACAGAUUUGCGCAGGGAAGAGGUGGGGGAGAGGGUUCAUUGCCUCCCUUAAAUAUGCUACAUUUUUUUUUUU